GAUGAAGAACGUAGCGAACUGCAAUAAGUAAUGUGAAUUGCAGAAUUCAGUGAAUCAUCGAGUCUUUGAACGCACAUUGCGCCCCCUGGCAUUCCGGGGGGCAUGCCUGUCCGAGCGUCAUUGCUGCCCUUCAAGCCCGGCUUGUGUGUUGGGUCGUCGUCCCCCCCGGGGGACGGGCCCGAAAGGCAGCGGCGGCACCGCGUCCGGUCCUCGAGCGUAUGGGGCUUUGUCACCCGCUCGAUUAGGGCCGGCCGGGCGCCAGCCGGCGUCUCCAACCUUCUAUUUUACCAGGUUGACCUCGGAUCAGGUAGGGAUACCCGCUGAACUUAAGCAUAUCAAUAAGCGGAGGA
rnacentral:misc_RNA from 1 species